UACGGAGGGUGCGAGCGUUAUCCGGAAUCACUGGGUUUAAAGGGUGCGUAGGCGGCUCGGUAAGUCAGGUGUGAAAGUUUGCGGCUCAACCGUAAAAUUGCUUUUGAUACUGCGGGGCUAGAAUUAGGAUGAGGUCAGCGGAAUGUGGCAUGUAGCGGUGAAAUGCAUAGAUAUGCCAUAGAACACCAAUUGCGAAGGCAGCUGGCUAGACCUGGAUUGACGCUGAGGCACGAAAGCGUGGGGAGCGAACAGG
rnacentral:rRNA from 1 species